AAAGGAGAGUUGCUGGAGGCUAUCAAGCGUGACUUUGGGUCUUUUGAGAAGUUUAAGGAGAAACUGACAGCCGUGUCUGUGGGAGUCCAAGAUUCAGGCUGGGGCUGGCUUGGCUUCAAUAAGGAGCAAGGUCUCUUACAGAUUGCUGCCUGCUCUAAUCAGGACCCUCUGCAAGGAACAACAGGCCUUAUUCCGCUGCUGGGGAUUGACGUGUGGGAGCACGCAUACUACCUCCAGUACAAAAACGUCAGGCCUGACUAUCUGAAGGCUAUUUGGAAUGUAAUCAACUGGGAGAAUGUUACUGAAAGAUACACAGCUUGCAAGAAGUAAAGCCUUUUGGCCACGUUGAGUAUGCCAGGCCCUUGGCUGUUUUAUAGUAGUGUAGAGCACUGCAGCACUAUGACUGAGAGCUGUAAUCUUUACUGAUGUUUAUCCACAUAUGUGAUGAGCAUAAUGUUAUGAUAAUUUCUUAUUUUAAUUAAAUUUACUAUUAGUACAACUGUUUGAGAACAGUACA